ACAGGUUGACAGUAUGGGCUGAAUUCAGCAGUUUCAUCAGAAAAACAUGAGUGCAGCUUCUUCACUCCACCCCCUGGGAAAGGGAGCCCUAAAUGCUGCAGGGUCAAAGCAAGGAUACAGGAAAGGGACCCUCUGGAUGCUGGCAUAUGGGAGAAGCCACCACCCCCCCAAUUUAUAAUAAAUGAAUGUUGGAGUAAAUCUCUUCAUUAACCAGAUCGAGAGAGGAAUUUACACUCCAAAGUAAUCACUCAUAUCUUCAGCCACAAAAGCCCCAAAGACUCCACUUCCUGAACAUUCCCUUUAAUGGGGCAGACCUUUGCUGACCAGCUGAGUGCAAGGGUGACUUCAGCAGGUGGAUUCCAUGAAGUGAGCAGUUCAGAGCACACACAGCCACACUGCCUGCAAGCCUGUGGGUGGCUUUGGCAGACGAAAGCCCGUCCUUCAAGCAACUGAGGCAGGAGCCCAUUAAAGGUGUUAAUUUUACAUGAUGUGGCACGGAGAGUUUAUAAAUAAAUAACAAAUGAACAUUCCCCAUGGCUUCUCUCCUCUGAGUCUGUGUACCUGCUGCAGACCUGGCAACAGUGGGAGACUUUCAGAUGCCAGAUCCGGAAUUGCCCUUCAAAAACUAAGGAAGGAGGUAUUUCUGUCACUAAGACUUGACAACUUCUGAUGCCUUCAUCAUUGGGUCCAGUCACUUUUGAAAAAUAUCCACUAACCUAUCCUCUGUGGUUGGAUGUGCUCAGUUUAAGAUUAUCAUCCUGAGCUGCAAGAACAAAACACAGAUGUUAGAGUU